rnacentral:misc_RNA from 1 species
GGCGCUUCCAUAGCACUCCAGAGCAGGCCUCAUAUGCUGUUCAGGUGCAGUCGCGUGGUGCGCCCACCCGCCCUCCAUACGCGCAGAAUGUCCAUGAGGACAGUGGUCAUGGAGCACGGCGUCCCUUUGUCACUAUACUACUUCAUCACAAAUGAACUCCUCGUUUGCCUGCUGACGUGCUUGCUGCACUACGGCUACUUUGGCCAAGAGGACCUUUUUGGCUUUUUGAAAUCUGUCGGCGCCUCAAAGUACGUAGACCUAAACUCCAUCGAAGGCAAAAGCUGGUCAUUAUUUGGCGGACAGCUUGUUGUGAGCGCGCGACUUGUCGCCAACUUCACUGCUGCAUCCUUGUUUAUGUCUCUAUGGACACCCGUUCAGCUGCCCAUUUGCAUUGCCACCUAUCCGCAUCUGAAGCGCUUCAGCCAACUUUUGAGGAAAAGGGGUUGUGUUUCUAAACCGAUUUAGAGUGCUGGCUAAGUGGUGCAGGGAUGCCACCAAAAGCUGUAUUGCAGUCGUAGCUUCAUUUAUGCUCUGUCAAUGUUGUUCCUCGCUACACAGCGUGAGAUGCGCUGGCAGAUGAAUAGUAUCUGCGCUCUUCAAUGUACUCGUAAGUAGACAAAAGGCAAACCAUGCUCCAUCAUGCAAGGUUUUGUUUCGAAGAAAGCGUGAGAGCGGUAACUUUCCCUUCCUUUUUCGCUUUGUUCCUCUGGGGCGGUAACCCCACUCUGGGCAGGAAAGGGAUAGAACUAGCACUUCAUGUACAACCACGCUAGCGCAACUCAGCUACUUUUCUUUUCCCCAUUCUACGGCUCAUAG